rnacentral:rRNA from 1 species
GACGAACGCUGGCGGCGUGCCUAAUACAUGCAAGUAGAACGCACAGUUUAUACCGUAGCUUGCUACACCAUAGACUGUGAGUUGCGAACGGGUGAGUAACGCGUAGGUAACCUGCCUGGUAGCGGGGGAUAACUAUUGGAAACGAUAGCUAAUACCGCAUAAUAUUAAUUAUUGCAUGAUAAUUAAUUGAAAGGUGCAAUUGCACCACUACCAGAUGGACCUGCGUUGUAUUAGCUAGUAGGUGAGGUAACGGCUCACCUAGGCGACGAUACAUAGCCGACCUGAGAGGGUGAUCGGCCACACUGGGACUGAGACACGGCCCAGACUCCUACGGGAGGCAGCAGUAGGGAAGCUUCGGCAAUGGACGAAAGUCUGACCGAGCAACGCCGCGUGAGUGAAGAAGGUUGUCGGAUCGUAAAGCUCUGUUGUAAGAGAAGAACGGGUGUGAGAGUGGAAAGUUCACACUGUGACGGUAUCUUACCAGAAAGGGACGGCUAACUACGUG